AUGAAUGAAUGAAUGGUUAACGAAAAAAUAAUCAACGAAAAAUCAAAGAAGAAUCCAAACUACUGCGAGGAUGCCGCCCCAGAGGAUGGAGAAACCAGUGUUUGAAAAGUAACAGUAGGAGCAGGAAAUAUUUUAAAGGACUUCUAAUAUUUUGAGAACAACGAAAAUUAAUGUAAGUUUUCAAACACUGAUGGAAACUACUGGUUGGACGGCACAUGGCUCCACAUGGGGCUCCAGCAAAGAUGCAAAAUUCUCCGAUUUUUUUGCUUUAAUGUACAUAAAUAUAUACUUCACAGUCAAUUA
rnacentral:sRNA from 1 species